AGCGCUCAGCGGCGCGGGGCGUAUCGGGGCGCGCGGGAGGACGGCAUAAGCGAUAUUGGGUUUUAUUAAGUAUGAAUGCAGCGUCUGACAGCAAACACCGUAUUUCCCGCGCGCCGCUCGCUUGUCCCACAUUCACGAACAUUACAACAAAUGCAAAUAGUGACACAAUUAACAUAUUGAUUCAAGGUUAAAAUUGGACAGAACAAUAUCAGGUUAGGGAUUUAAAAGUUACAUACAAGCAAAGGAGGAUAGACGGUUACAGUAAAAAACGGGCGGUUAAAACAGUGGAAGUGUACGAGGAAGCCAAGGUCAAGGGAUGAGUUCCCCAAGCGCUGACCAGACCUAGCCUAUUGCUUUCGUGCCGCAAACAGACAGGUUACGAAGAGGAGGAGGCAGGUCAUUCCAGCACCUAGUGGCGCAGAACCUAAAGCUUCCUCGGAAACUCACCGUUCUAUGUAUUGGCAUUCUAAGUUUUAUCAAUGACGCUCUAGUGACAUGCUCACUAUCAUUAUUUCCUAACCACUGUAAUUUAUGAUAGAGGUAAGGUGGAACCUGGUAUUUUAUAGUGCCAAAAAGUAACGUAGCGAAAUGUAAUUGCAUACGAUAAUUCAUUUUUAAGAUGUUAGCAUUAUUUAAAUAUGGUGUGAUAUGUGUACGUGGCGGUAUUUUAAAGCAGUAGCGAGCGCAGGCGUUCUGGACUCGUUGGAUGAUUUUUUUUGUACGUUCAAGUAAACGGGGCCCUAUAACUACAUCUGCAUAAUUAAAUUUAGAAAGAACUAACGCCUCACAAAGUCUAAUGCGUACUUUGGUAGAAAUGGAGUCUCUAAUAUUAUAAAGAAUUUUUAACCUAUAAAAACAGUUUUUGGCAAUAUUAUUUACAUGCUUUUCAAAACGAAGUUCCUCGUCAAAUAGAACACCUAGGUUGCGCGCUUCAGUCACCCUUUGUAUACGUACACCUUUUAUAUCAAUAUUUGGAUCACAAUUACUAAUAAUUUGAAUUUGCCGCUCUGUACCAAGUAUCAUGUAUUUAGUUUUGUUAGGGUUCAUUUCUAGCGUGUUUGAAAUUGACCAACGGGCUAUACGAUCCAAAUCUUGGUUGAGUUGUUGCAAAGCUGCUUGUACCUUACAUGGCUUAAAAGAAAUAUACAACUGCAGAUCAUCAGCAUACAAGUGAUAGUUGCAGUGAUUAAUUUGUUUUACAAUAUCAGUUGUAUAAAUCGUAAAUAAAAUUGGUCCUAAAAUAGAGCCUUGUGGUACUCCUCUAGUUACAUGCCUUAUGUCAGAUUUAGCAACACUCCCAUCUUCUGACUUAAUCUCUACGUAUUGGCUGCGGCAACUCAUAUAACUCGCAAACCAUUGUACAGUUUUGUCGUCGAACCCAUAAUAUGACAGCUUUGAUAUCAACAAUGGAAUGUUUAUGGUGUCAAACGCACGAGAGUAGUCUAGGAGUACUAGUAUAGUACCCUCGCCCCUGUCUCGAGCAGAUAGGAUAUCAUCGACAACGUCUGCUAAAGCAGUCGUAGUCCCUCGAUUUUUCCUAAAUCCUGAUUGUUUAUCUGGCAAAAUUUUAUUUAACUCCAAAAAGUCUCUUAGUUGAUUGCAUACAACUUUUUCAAGAAUCUUGGACAAACAUGGUAGAAUGCUUAUUGGACGUAAAUCUUUAAAUUCUAAGGGCGUGUCGAUCUUAGGUAUAGGUCUUACAAUAGCUUUGCACCAAAGAUCUGGGAAUUUGGAUGUUAAUAUGGAGGAGUUGACGAUUGCAGUAAUAACCUUUAUUGUGUAUUGCAGGGUUGGUAAUAUCAUGUCCAGAGAGAUCCCAUCUGCCCCGAUUGCAUUAGAAGUUAAUGUUUUAAUAAUUUUAAAAAUUUCGGAUUCUGUAACUGUUUUCAAGUAAAAGCUUGCGUCACUAAAUUUAUUGCGUUGAAAAUAUUCAAUAACUAAUCGAUCCGCAUUUAGACUACCGGGAAUUGCAAGGAAAAAAUUAUUAACUUCAUUUGGGUCACGUAACUGUUCUGGUAGAAUCAGAUCACCUUUUCUAUUGAUGUUAACAUUAUAUUUAAUGUGUUUCCAAAGAAUUUUUGCAUUUUUUAAAUUUUGAUUAAUAAAAGUUUCGAAAUAAGCCUUUUUUUCAUUUUUAAUUGAAACACGAACUAUAUUUUUCAAAUCUUUAUAAUAAUUAAUGUGCGCGUCUAUUUUACUUUUACGUGCUCUUAUAUGCGCAAUAUCCCGUAGUCUCAUCAUAAACUUAAUAAUAGAUGUGAUCCAGGGAUAAUGACGGAACUUAGAGUGCAAGGAUUUUAGAGGUGCAAGUGUGUCAUAAAUGCGUCGAAUCUCUGUAUUAAAUUGCCCUACCAUAUCAUCUACGCAUUGAAGUCCGGCAAUGCAGUCCCAGUUCACAAGUGCCAGACAUUUGUCUAAUUCACUUGGAUCUAUAGAUGUAAUGUCCCUGUAAAAAAAUUUUUUUGGUGUAAAUUUAUCUCUAGUUAUAGUGACGUCACAAGAUAUAAAUGAGUGACUGCUUAAAGUGCAUACAUAAUCAACCCAGACCUGACAAAUAUCUGCAUCGGUACAAAACAAAUCUAAGAGAGUUUCACUGCGAUUUGUGAAAUGCGUUGGCUCAUUAAUGUGUUGCGUCAAAUUUAAACUAUUUAAGAAGUCAGUGAGUAAUUUACUGUUUUUGUUAUUUUUAUCAAAAUAAUUAAUAUUAAAAUCUCCAAUGAUGAUGAGCUGAUCCCGCCACGUAAACAAGGAUAAAGUCUCGUACAAAGCAUCAAAAAAUGUUUGUACACUUAACCAUGGUGGCCUAUAUGCCGUUCCUAUUACUAAGUUUUUACCUCGACUUUUAUAGCAUAUCCACAUCUGCUCAACGCAAGGGGAGGGAGGGUGACUGAGGGUGCGAACAUUCAGGCCUUUUCUGACAUAAAAUCCUACGCCGCCACCGCGUGCGCGUAUGUUUUGUGGGCGAGGUAUAUGCUGUAAUUUGUAACCCGGUAUAAUAGGAGCACGGCCAUCUUCUCCAGCCUUCAGCCAAGUCUCAUUUAGGCCCAGAACGUCCACAUUAUGCCUUUCUACUGCGACUAUGAAUUCCUCAUGAUUAGUUCCUAGAGAACACGGAUUCAGGAAACCAACUUUUAAAUUGCGCGGUCUAAUCAUUUAUAAAUAAAAUUGCUAACUAAUGUUACCUGUUGAAAUAGUAAAAAUAAAUUAAUGAUUUUAAAAUAUUCAAUUAAUAAUACCAAGUAACACACAAUGUAAACAAUACCUCCUUGUAUUUUAUAGUUAUAUGGGCUCAGUAUGUAUAAUGUCUGGUUGUUGUAUAUUACACUGCUGCGAGAACUUAUUUUUAAGACCUUAAGUGAAAAAAUAAUCCAACUAACAUUAAUAGAAUAUAAUUUUAAAAAACAAACUAUAAAAUAAAUCUUCCUACCUAUUAAUUUCAUUAAAUAUGCUAUAUAUAUUUUUACAAUCAUCGAGAUUAAAUCAGAGCUCAAACCCGUGUUGAUACAAAAACCUUAGAAAUAUCAUUUUGUGUUUUUAUCCUUUGAGCCGCAGUAUCUUUACUCCGCCGCGCAUAUAUUCGCCCCUCGCGGGUCCAAAUAUAACGCCACCCAUUGCGACGGCCUUCCUCUCGUGCAUGAUAGAACAAGACACGGUUUGUUUUUGUCAGACGCUCAUUUAUAUAAAACCGCUUGGGUUCCUUGUCUAUUUCAAGGCCCGUUGUAUCAGCCCCGCGUCGCACGCGCGCCGCUCGCAGUAGUUGAUCGCGAAUCGAGCGGCGCGCUAGUCGCACUACGAUAGGGCGCGGGCGAGAUCGUUCACCGGUUUCAUUAUAAGCCGGCCGCGGUCCUGAUCGUUCAACGUAAACAACGUCGCGCUCGUCCAAGGUGACUCCGAUUUUACUUGCAAUAAGGCCUGUGACAUGAUGCAGAUUUUCCUCAUUCCGUUCUGUGAUACCUGUAAUCUCGAUGUCGUUUAAUAGACACGACUGUUCGCGCUCAUUAAGAUCCGACUUCAACUUGGCAAAAUCUUCCAGUAAAUGGCUCUCUGAAAUGGUGCACGGUGCUUUAUUCUCAAGUUGAGUCAAUCGUGCUUCUACGCUGUCGACCCUUUUACCUACUUCGCUUAACGUACCUUUUAAUAACGCGAGCUCCUGCCUAAACGAAGACACCUCAUGCGUCACUGCGGCCAAUUCAACCCGAAGGAGCUUCAUUUGGUCUAAAAGUGAGCUCACGAUAAGUGGAUCUUCAAUUCCUGACAGAGAUGGGGGAAGUUCGGUGUGUGAUACAAGUUCCCCUUGCGUGGAAGCUGUGUCGGUGACUAAAGCAGGAGAACACGGCUUCGGCUUACAGCCCUUACAAAUCCACUUUGGUACCCUUGCAUCUGGGCUGGAGUUCAUUACACAAGCUCGGUGGAAUAAACAGGAGCACCGUACACAUUUCACACUAUCGGCCGCAGCUAAAAACUUUCCGCAGCUACUGCAUUUAUUUGCCAUUUUCGUUAUGGUUAUGCACGUGUAAAUAACCAAAUACUACGAAUAGUUGUAUUUUAUAUCGUGUUUAUACGUAUAUAUUAAAUUGUUAUGCAGUAUGUAUAAAUCAGAGAUGUAAUCUAUUUUGGAAUAUAAGGUAAUUGUUUU